CUAAUACAUGCAAGUCGAACGAGUUCUGAUUAUUGAAAGGUGCUUGCAUCUUGAUUUAAUUUUGAACGAGUGGCGGACGGGUGAGUAACACGUGGGUAACCUGCCCUUAAGUGGGGGAUAACAUUUGGAAACAGAUGCUAAUACCGCAUAAAUCCAAGAACCGCAUGGUUCUUGGCUGAAAGAUGGCGUAAGCUAUCGCUUUUGGAUGGACCCGCGGCGUAUUAGCUAGUUGGUGAGGUAACGGCUCACCAAGGCAAUGAUACGUAGCCGAACUGAGAGGUUGAUCGGCCACAUUGGGACUGAGACACGGCCCAAACUCCUACGGGAGGCAGCAGUAGGGAAUCUUCCACAAUGGACGCAAGUCUGAUGGAGCAACGCCGCGUGAGUGAAGAAGGCUUUCGGGUCGUAAAACUCUGUUGUUGGAGAAGAAUGGUCGGCAGAGUAACUGUUGUCGGCGUGACGGUAUCCAACCAGAAAGCCACGGCUAACUACGUGCCAGCAGCCGCGGUAAUACGUAGGUGGCAAGCGUUAUCCGGAUUUAUUGGGCGUAAAGCGAGCGCAGGCGGUUUUUUAAGUCUGAUGUGAAAGCCCUCGGCUUAACCGAGGAAGUGCAUCGGAAACUGGGAAACUUGAGUGCAGAAGAGGACAGUGGAACUCCAUGUGUAGCGGUGAAAUGCGUAGAUAUAUGGAAGAACACCAGUGGCGAAGGCGGCUGUCUGGUCUGUAACUGACGCUGAGGCUCGAAAGCAUGGGUAGCGAACAGGAUUAGAUACCCUGGUAGUCCAUGCCGUAAACGAUGAAUGCUAGGUGUUGGAGGGUUUCCGCCCUUCAGUGCCGCAGCUAACGCAUUAAGCAUUCCGCCUGGGGAGUACGACCGCAAGGUUGAAACUCAAAGGAAUUGACGGGGGCCCGCACAAGCGGUGGAGCAUGUGGUUUAAUUCGAAGCAACGCGAAGAACCUUACCAGGUCUUGACAUCUUUUGAUCACCUGAGAGAUCAGGUUUCCCCUUCGGGGGCAAAAUGACAGGUGGUGCAUGGUUGUCGUCAGCUCGUGUCGUGAGAUGUUGGGUUAAGUCCCGCAACGAGCGCAACCCUUAUGACUAGUUGCCAGCAUUUAGUUGGGCACUCUAGUAAGACUGCCGGUGACAAACCGGAGGAAGGUGGGGAUGACGUCAAAUCAUCAUGCCCCUUAUGACCUGGGCUACACACGUGCUACAAUGGAUGGUACAACGAGUUGCGAGACCGCGAGGUCAAGCUAAUCUCUUAAAGCCAUUCUCAGUUCGGACUGUAGGCUGCAACUCGCCUACACGAAGUCGGAAUCGCUAGUAAUCGCGGAUCAGCACGCCGCGGUGAAUACGUUCCCGGGCCUUGUACACACCGCCCGUCACACCAUGAGAGUUUGUAACACCCGAAGCCGGUGGC
rnacentral:rRNA from 1 species